UACGAAGGGGGCGAGCGUUGUUCGGAUUUACUGGGCGUAAAGAGCGCGUAGGCGGUCCGGUAAGUCGGUUGUGAAAGUCGGGGGGCUCAACCCUCGGAUGCCGAUCGAUACUGUCGGGCUAGAGUCCGGAAGAGGCGAGUGGAAUUCCUGGUGUAGCGGUGAAAUGCGUAGAGAUCAUGAGGAAGACCAGUGGCGAAGGCGGGUCUCUGGACAGUUCCUGACACUGAGGCACGAAGGCCAGGGGAGCAAACGGG
rnacentral:rRNA from 1 species